GAUGAACGCUGGCGGCGUGCCUAAUACAUGCAAGUCUAGCGAACGGACGAGAAGCUUGCUUCUCUGAUGUUAGCGGCGGACGGGUGAGUAACACGUGGAUAACCUACCUAUAAGACUGGGAUAACUUCGGGAAACCGGAGCUAAUACCGGAUAAUAUUUUGAACCGCAUGGUUCAAAAGUAAAAGACGGUCUUGCUGUCACUUAUAGAUGGAUCCGCGCUGCAUUAGCUAGUUGGUAAGGUAACGGCUUACCAAGGCAACGAUGCAUAGCCGACCUGAGAGGGUGAUCGGCCACACUGGAACUGAGACACGGUCCAGACUCCUACGGGAGGCAGCAGUAGGGAAUCUUCCGCAAUGGGCGAAAGCCUGACGGAGCAACGCCGCGUGAGUGAUGAAGGUCUUCGGAUCGUAAAACUCUGUUAUUAGGGAAGAACAUAUGUGUAAGUAACUGUGCACAUCUUGACGGUACCUAAUCAGAAAGCCACGGCUAACUACGUG
rnacentral:rRNA from 1 species